rnacentral:tRNA from 2 species
GGGCUCAUAGCUCAGCUGGUAGAGCAUCGCCCUUUUAAGGCGAGGGUCGUAGGUUCAAGCCCUACUGAGCUCA